AAUCUCAAUCUAAUAUGUUUUCUGAACAUGUUAGGCUUGGACUUGGGUGUCUGCCAGCAAUGGCUCACCUCAAAUGACUUAGUGGAACAUCCCACAUCAGUGUUAGACGUAAUAAGUUUCGUCUCUCCUUGUGGUGAUGACUGCUCAAAACCUGCCAUCGCGCACCUUUUGA
rnacentral:misc_RNA from 5 species